rnacentral:rRNA from 1 species
UUUAUGGAGAGUUUGAUCCUGGCUCAGGAUGAACGCUGGCGGCGUGCCUAAUACAUGCAAGUCGAGCGAACGGACGAGAAGCUUGCUUCUCUGAUGUUAGCGGCGGACGGGUGAGUAACACGUGGAUAACCUACCUAUAAGACUGGGAUAACUUCGGGAAACCGGAGCUAAUACCGGAUAAUAUUUUGAACCGCAUGGUUCAAAAGUGAAAGACGGUCUUGCUGUCACUUAUAGAUGGAUCCGCGCUGCAUUAGCUAGUUGGUAAGGUAACGGCUUACCAAGGCAACGAUGCAUAGCCGACCUGAGAGGGUGAUCGGCCACACUGGAACUGAGACACGGUCCAGACUCCUACGGGAGGCGACAGUAGGGAAUCUUCCGCAAUGGGCGAAAGCCUGACGGAGCAACGCCGCGUGAGUGAUGAAGGUCUUCGGAUCGUAAAACUCUGUUAUUAGGGAAGAACAUAUGUGUAAGUAACUGUGCACAUCUUGACGGUACCUAAUCAGAAAGCCACGGCUAACUACGUGCCAGCGUACCGCGGUAAUACGUAGGUGGCAAGCGUUAUCCGGAAUUAUUGGGCGUAAAGCGCGCGUAGGCGGUUUUUUAAGUCUGAUGUGAAAGCCCACGGCUCAACCGUGGAGGGUCAUUGGAAACUGGAAAACUUGAGUGCAGAAGAGGAAAGUGGAAUUCCAUGUGUAGCGGUGAAAUGCGCAGAGAUAUGGAGGAACACCAGUGGCGAAGGCGACUUUCUGGUCUGUAACUGACGCUGAUGUGCGAAAGCGUGGGGAUCAAACAGGAUUAGAUACCCUGGUAGUCCACGCCGUAAACGAUGAGUGCUAAGUGUUAGGGGGUUUCCGCCCCUUAGUGCUGCAGCUAACGCAUUAAGCACUCCGCCUGGGGAGUACGACCGCAAGGUUGAAACUCAAAGGAAUUGACGGGGACCCGCACAAGCGGUGGAGCAUGUGGUUUAAUUCGAAGCAACGCGAAGAACCUUACCAAAUCUUGACAUCCUUUGACAACUCUAGAGAUAGAGCCUUCCCCUUCGGGGGACAAAGUGACAGGUGGUGCAUGGUUGUCGUCAGCUCGUGUCGUGAGAUGUUGGGUUAAGUCCCGCAACGAGCGCAACCCUUAAGCUUAGUUGCCAUCAUUAAGUUGGGCACUCUAAGUUGACUGCCGGUGACAAACCGGAGGAAGGUGGGGAUGACGUCAAAUCAUCAUGCCCCUUAUGAUUUGGGCUACACACGUGCUACAAUGGACAAUACAAAGGGCAGCGAAACCGCGAGGUCAAGCAAAUCCCAUAAAGUUGUUCUCAGUUCGGAUUGUAGUCUGCAACUCGACUACAUGAAGCUGGAAUCGCUAGUAAUCGUAGAUCAGCAUGCUACGGUGAAUACGUUCCCGGGUCUUGUACACACCGCCCGUCACACCACGAGAGUUUGUAACACCCGAAGCCGGUGGAGUAACCUUUUAGGAGCUAGCCGUCGAAGGUGGGACAAAUGAUUGGGGUGAAGUCGUAACAAGGUAGCCGUAUCGGAAGGUGCGGCUGGAUCACCUCCUUU